AUAAAUGGCCGCGGUACUUUGACCGUGCUAAGGUAGCGCAAUCAAUUGGCUUUUAAUUGGGGUCAGGAAUGAAUGGAAUCACGUAAUUUAGCUGUCUCUUUUAUUAAUUUCUCGAAGUUACUAUGCUGGUGAAAAAGCCUGCAUAAUGAAAAAAGACGAGAAGACCCUCAGAGUUUUACUUAAAUUAAAGUUAUAUUUAUUUUAUAUUUAUAAUAGUUUAGUUGGGGCAACAUAAGAACAAUUUGUAACUUCUAUAAUUUAACAAACCGAUGAUUAUAAAUUUGAAUAAACUACCUAAGGGAUAACAGCAUAAUAUUAAAUAUGAGUUUGUGACCUCGAUGUUGGACUGGGAAACUAAAAGGCUAGCCGUUUUUUAGGAAAGUUCUGUUCGAAC
rnacentral:rRNA from 1 species